rnacentral:rRNA from 1 species
UGGGGAAUAUUGGACAAUGGGCGAAAGCCUGAUCCAGCCAUGCCGCGUGUGUGAAGAAGGUCUUCGGAUUGUAAAGCACUUUAAGUUGGGAGGAAGGGCAUUAACCUAAUACGUUAGUGUUUUGACGUUACCGACAGAAUAAGCACCGGCUAACUCUGUGCCAGCAGCCGCGGUAAUACAGAGGGUGCAAGCGUUAAUCGGAAUUACUGGGCGUAAAGCGCGCGUAGGUGGUUUGUUAAGUUGGAUGUGAAAUCCCCGGGCUCAACCUGGGAACUGCAUUCAAAACUGACUGACUAGAGUAUGGUAGAGGGUGGUGGAAUUUCCUGUGUAGCGGUGAAAUGCGUAGAUAUAGGAAGGAAC